rnacentral:lncRNA from 1 species
UUCUGAGUUUACUUUCUGUUUCUGCAUAUCUCUGUAAGUAUGUUUUGCUAUUAAACUGCCUUCCGGAGUUCUUUUCUGUAGAUCUGUUGUUAGUCGUUUUGAACCCACACUGAGCUCUUGUAGCUCACUCAUCUCAAUUUUCCUUUUUCAGGAUUUUAGUAUGCUGUUGCUGGACUCGACAUGUCGGACGUCUCGAAAGCAUCACGUUUCUUAAAAUUGGUUAAUAAAAUGUUUUCUGUAAAUCUAAGUUUUAUGUAAAUGAUUUUGGACUGUAAAUAAUUGUUUAAAAUACUAUAAUGUUUUUCUAUUUGUUAAACUAAAAUUUCCC